AAUUCUCCUCCUUUCUUGAGAACCAAGGACUCCCGAAGGAGACAAAAUCCCCUUCUCUCGUCAGGCCGGGCCAGCAAAAAUUCCGAGUUGAAUGUCUAUUUAUUCCUCAGGUCACAUCUGUUAAAGUCCAAUUCAGAGGUUGAGCACACAGUGCAAGAACCUCCCAUAGAAGGGGCUGCGUCAAAGAGGCCUUACUAUAAUGAGAGGCAGAGUGAUGCCCCAGAAUUGGCAAGUUUGAGAAGUGCUGCUGUGGCAAGAUCUGAAACACAUGACUCCAGAAUAAUAGAGGACCACAAUAAAGACCUGGAGGAGGAUAUGAUGUCAGAGGCUUCAGGUUAUGGAAAGUUCCAAUCCCUGUUUUUUGGAGCAAUUUCACCUAUGCUGCAAAAUAACUUCUACCCUGAGUUUAGUAGUCUGGUAACACCGAGUGACAACGAAGAUGACCUCAGUAAUGGGCAGCUCUCCCAAACUUUCUAAUGUUCAGUGAUGUAGCAAGGCGAGCUUUGAUACUAGGAUCAUAACUAGCUGCCCUUCACAUCAAACAUCUACUGACAUCGUUAAUUCAGAGGAAUCUGCCUGCACUUUCCAGGAAAACAGAAGUGUGGAACCCCUUGUGUCUGAAGCACUUUAUGAUAUUUACCGUUUUAAACAGUUGUGAUUAGAAAUGAGUAUUGUACAGUGUAAGAAAAUGAUUCAAACUUUUUUGGGGGAGGUUCUAAUUCUUAAGUGAGUAGACAGGGGUGCUAUAAACAUGAAUUAUUCCCUCUUCGAUUGUGGGAAAAAAACACCAUACAGUGCCUGUUUUAGUUCAGGACACUUUCACAAUGAGACUGUUUUCCUUGUCAGUUUAAUAAAUGCAUGUUAAAUUUCUCCAGAUAUUACAACCUCUGGGAAUUAGUACAAACAUUUGACGUACAGCCAGCAUCUAUUGCAACAAAAGGUAGUUUUGCAAUUUGUGGAUUCCCUUUGUAGUUAAGCAAAUAUUUAAGUUGAAUUACCUAAAGAAGUAACCUGUAAUGCAGAUUCUUCUUCUAUUACUGUACCUGCUUUGGGAUAUUUUAAAAUUAAGUCCUGAGGGAACAUGCUUUUAAAGCAAGCUCUUUCACACUGACCACUACACUUCAAGACAAUAAAAAGCAUCCAUUUUAAAGAUGACAAAGUUUUAGCCUCUAUUUAGUCCUUUCUC
rnacentral:lncRNA from 1 species